GUUGACCUCGGAUCAGGUAGGAAUACCCGGUGAAC
rnacentral:rRNA from 1 species